rnacentral:piRNA from 1 species
UACAAGUACUACUUAUCAUUCUCCUCCAUA